AAGUCGUAACAAGGUCUCCGUAGGUGAACCUGCGGAGGGAUCAUUACCGAGUGAGGGCGCUUGCGCCCGACCUCCCAACCCUUUGAUUUAUCAAAACCUCAUUCUGCCUCGGGGGCACUGGCGACAGUCCCCCGGCGGCACCCCAACCAAACCCUGCAUCAAUUGUCGUCUGAUUAUAAAGUUAAUUCAAUUAAAACUUUCAACAACGGAUCUCUUGGUUCUG
rnacentral:misc_RNA from 1 species